UAGGGAAUCUUCCACAAUGGACGCAAGUCUGAUGGAGCAACGCCGCGUGAGUGAAGAAGGUUUUCGGAUCGUAAAGCUCUGUUGUUGGUGAAGAAGGAUAGAGGCAGUAACUGGUCUUUAUUUGACGGUAAUCAACCAGAAAGUCACGGCUAACUACGUGCCAGCAGCCGCGGUAAUACGUAGGUGGCAAGCGUUGUCCGGAUUUAUUGGACGUAAAGCGAGCGCAGGCGGAAUGAUAAGUCUGAUGUGAAAGCCCACGGGUCAACCGUGGAACUGCAUCGGAAAAUGUCAUUCUUGGGUGAAGAAGAGGAGAGUGGAAAUCCAUGUGUAGCGGGGGAAUGCGUAGAUAUAUGGAAGAACACCAGGGGCGAAGGCGGCUCUCUGGUCUGCAACUGACGCUGAGGCUCGAAAGCAUGGGUAGCGAACAGG
rnacentral:rRNA from 1 species